rnacentral:rRNA from 1 species
UACAGAGGUCUCAAGCGUUGUUCGGAUUCAUUGGGCGUAAAGGGUGCGUAGGCGGCGCGGUAAGUCGGGUGUGAAAUUUCGGAGCUUAACUCCGAAACUGCAUUUGAUACUGGCGUGCUUGAGGACUGGAGAGGAGACUGGAAUUCCUGGUGUAGCGGUGAAAUGCGCAGAUAUCAGGAAGAACACCUAUGGCGAAGGCAGCUCUCUGGGACGGUACUGACGCUGAGACGCGAAAGCGUGGGGAGCGAACAGG